rnacentral:lncRNA from 1 species
AAUCACCCAUGCCAGAUAAAAGGAUUUUAAGGCUAUUCAUAUUUUUUUGCCAAGUUCUAUAAUGAGCAUUUAUUAUUUCAUAAAAAGAAAAAGUUACCCUUAAAAAAAAAGCCCUAUAAUUAUUCCCAACUGCUCACUUUCCUCAACUGUAUAUUUUUAGAGUAACCCAAUAUAAUCUAUUGCUCUCCAACUGACUUGCUUUGUACGAGAGUUCAGACCUGUAAUUAAUAAUUGGAUCUUUAGACAAUAAAAGAAAAGAAAUAUAUAAGUAGGUCACAGCCUGUCUUUUUAAGAAUGAAGAGGGGGAACGAGGUAAGCCCAAGGAAGGAAUGAAGCUAAAAGAGAAAUGACCCGGGUCAAGAGUCAAGCCCUCUCUCUCAUGGAAUGAGCUCAGAGCUGGAGCUGCUCUGUAAAGAGCCUUGAGAUAUUUAGGAAUACCAAGGUCAAGGCAAGAGCCUUGGGAAGCCUUUAGCCUGUAACAUUAAGGGAGCCCUGGGAAGCCAGGUGUGUUGACACACACACCUUCAGUCCCAGCAUUGAAGAAGCAGAGCCAAGUGGAUCGAUCUCUGUGAGUUGGAAACCAGCCUGGUCUACAUAGAAAAUUCUAGGCUAUUCUAGGUUCUACAUAGUGAGAUCCUGCCUCAGAUAGCUAGCUAGCUAAUAGAUAGAUAGAUAGAUAGAUAGAUAGAUAGAUAGAUAGAUAGAUAGAUAGAUAGAUGACCAUGGUGGUCUGAGCCUGUAAUCCCAGCAUUUAGGAGAUGGUGGUAAGAUAAUCAGGAGGAAUUUAAGGUCAUCCUCGGAUACAUAUAGAAUUGAGGCAGCCUGGGCUAUGUGACACAUCUCAAAAACUAAGAUGGAAACAAGAACAAGCAAAACCUCACAGAAACUGGAGAGGUCGCUGACCAGUUAAGAGAUAUGUGGCUCUUGUGUAGGACGAGAGCUUGCUCUGAAAUUUACAUCUUGCUGUGUCCCGGUAGUGACUUGCUCCCUGUACAUAAAGCUGUAUGUAUCCUCACUUAAGACUGAUCCAUAUUUCCAUCUCUGAGACCGGUAGGGCCUUCAAGCUUCUUCCCUGCAGCAACGAGAAUUCAUCAAGGCUGAUGACAGCAGCCAGGGCGAGCAAAGGGUGUGGACCUGUGGGAGAACGUGGAGACAACCCUGGAUUGAGGCAGACUAUCAUCGUUGCCUCCUUCGCUGCCCUCAACUCACUUUGGACUUCAGCAUGACCUUGAACUUCUGACCCUUUUGCACCCGGCUCCCGAGUGCUGGAAUUGAAGCAUGUGCUGCCACACAGGAAUCAAUCCUAGAGCUUGGUUUAUACAAGGCAGAAACUUUACCAGCAGGGAUACAGCCCCAGUCACCCGCUGAAUCUCUACUUUAUGCAAUGUUGUGAUCAGAACAAGAUUGUCGAUGUAAGUUAUCCCUUUCACCUUCUCUUUUGUGACGUCAGCAGGACAGACAAGGAAAUCAAGAGCUUAAGGUAACUCUGAGUUGAGAGGCAGAACCAAGAAUGUGAGAUGUCUGGUCUGGAGCUCUUCAACAUUGUCUGAGAUGGCACAAGUCCACCGCACUCAGCUUUCUGGAUGUGAGCUACAGUAAGAAUGAGAAACACUAAACAUAGAUAAUGUUUGUUUUAAACCGUG